UUAUCGUUUAUUUGAUAUUGCCUAUCCUACAUGGAUAACAGUGGUAAUUCUAGAGCUAAUACAUGCUGAAAAUCCCGACUUCGGAAGGGACGUAUUUAUUAGAAUCAGAACCAAUGCCCUUCGGGGUUUUCUGGUGACUCAUGAUAACUCCACAGAUCGCAUGGCCUUGCGCCGGCGAUGGCUCAUUCAAAUUUCUUCCCUAUCAACUUUCGACGGUACGGUCUUGGCCUACCGUGGUUGUAACGGGUGACGGAGGGUUAGGGCUCGACCCCGGAGAAGGAGCCUGAGAAACGGCUACUACAUCCAAGGAAGGCAGCAGGCGCGCAAAUUAUCCAAUCCCGACUCGGGGAGAUAGUGACAAUAAAUACCGAUACAGGGCUCUUUUGGGCCCUGUAAUUGGAAUGAGUACAAUUUAAACCUCUUAACGAGGAACAAUUGGAGGGCAAGUCUGGUGCCAGCAGCCGCGGUAAUUCCAGCUCCAAUAGCGUAUAUUAAAGUUGUUGUGGUUAAAAAGCUCGUAGUCGAACCUCGAGCCUGGCCGGCCGGUCCGCCUCACCGCGUGCACUGGUCUGGCCGGGCUCUUCCCUCUGCGGAACCGCAUGUCCUUCACUGGGCGUGUCGGGGAGGCAGGACUUUUACUUUGAAAAAAUUAGAGUGCUCAAGGCAGGCCAAUGCUCGAAUACAUUAGCAUGGAAUAAUAGAAUAGGACGUUGGUUCUAUUUUGUUGGUUUCUAGGACCGCCGUAAUGAUCAAUAGGGACGGUCGGGGGCAUCAGUAUUCAGCCGUCAGAGGUGAAAUUCUUGGACCGGCUGAAGACUAACUACUGCGAAAGCAUUUGCCAAGGACGUUUUCGCUGAUCA
rnacentral:rRNA from 1 species